rnacentral:sRNA from 1 species
UCAAUAAUUUUUUUAAUAUUAUUUGAUGUAAUGAUGAUUUUGCAUUAAUUGUGACAAUAGUCACAUCUAAACUUUUUUGGGGCAUUAAAUGUUGAUGUCACUUCGGAAUAAUGAAAAUAAUCUCACUUGUAACGGAACCGAAUCGCGUCAACGUGAAACAAAAAAUCUUCAACUGAAUCGGAACAGUGUACGUAACUAAACCUGCUAAACUAAACCGUACAUUUCAACAGUUACUAAGAGAGAAGCGCAAGGGCAGAAACGUCAUUUUGCAGGCGAAAAGACAAAUGGUGAAAACCACAUUUGACUUUAACAAUCCAUGGAAAUAAAACAUGGUCAACGGGUGUGGCCUGCAAUUUACCCUUAUAUAAACACUAAUAUAUAUAUCUAGGCUAGUACAGUUUUUCCUCUACGACAUUUACAAAUCUUUUU